CUGGAGUGCAGUGUUGUGAUCCCGGUUCACUGCAGCCUCUACCUCCUGUGUUCAAGCAAUCCUCCCACCUCAGCCUCCUGAGUAGCUGAGACCACAGGAAUGACGGACGCUGGGGCUUUGAUGGGCACCGGGUGAAAUGGGCAGAGUGGCGCUUACCCGGGAUGGCGGUGAAGCGGGACCGGGAGGUCAUCGUGACAAAGGGUGGCAUGAGGUACCUGGCCUUGACGCCCUCCCCGGCUAGACGGUCCAGAUUGGGGGUGUCCACAUCCUGAUCCUAGUCCCAGCGGAAGCCCUGGAAGGAGAUCAGCAGCAGCUAAACUCCUGGAGGGCAGAGCCAUGCCUGCCAUUUUCAUCAUUGCAUUACCACCACCCAGCACAGUGCCUGGUACAAAAG
rnacentral:lncRNA from 1 species